rnacentral:misc_RNA from 1 species
UACGGAGGGUGCAAGCAUUGAUCGGAAUUACUGGGCGUAAAGGGCGCGUAGGCGGCAUGGAAAGUCAGAUGUGAAAAUCCGGGGCUCAACUCCGGAACUGCAUUUGAAACUUCCAAGCUAGAGUGCAGUUAGGGAAAACGGAAUUCCACGUGUAGCGGUGAAAUGCGUAGAUAUGUGGAAGAACACCGGUGGUGAAGACGGUUUUCUGGGCUGCGACUGACGCUGAGGCGCGAGAGCUAGGGGAGCAAACAGG